AGAGUUUGAUCCUGGCUCAGAUUGAACGCUGGCGGCAUGCCUUACACAUGCAAGUCGAACGGCAGCGCGUCCUUCGGGAUGGCGGCGAGUGGCGAACGGGUGAGUAAAGCAUCGGAACGUGCCCGGUAGUGCGGGAUAGCUCGGCGAAAGCCGGAUUAAUACCGCAUGAGAUCCGUGGAUGAAAGCAGGGGACUCGCAAGGGCCUUGCGCUACUGGAGCGGCCGAUGUCAGAUUAGGUAGUUGGUGGGGUAAAGGCCCACCAAGCCUGCGAUCUGUAGCUGGUCUGAGAGGAUGAUCAGCCACAUCGGGACUGAGACACGGCCCGAACUCCUACGGGAGGCAGCAGUGGGGAAUUUUGGACAAUGGGCGCAAGCCUGAUCCAGCCAUGCCGCGUGCAGGAUGAAGGCCUUCGGGUUGUAAACUGCUUUUGUACGGAACG
rnacentral:rRNA from 1 species